rnacentral:rRNA from 1 species
UGCAAGUCGAACGGUAACAUUUCUAGCUUGCUAGAAGAUGACGAGUGGCGGACGGGUGAGUAAUGCUUGGGAACUUGCCUUCAGGAGGGGGAUAACAGUUGGAAACGACUGCUAAUACCGCAUAAUGUCUACGGACCAAAGCGGGCUUUUAGCUCGCACCUGAAGAGAGGCCCAAGUGAGAUUAGCUAGUUGGUAAGGUAAAGGCUUACCAAGGCAACGAUCUCUAGCUGUUCUGAGAGGAAGAUCAGCCACACUGGGACUGAGACACGGCCCAGACUCCUACGGGAGGCAGCAGUGGGGAAUAUUGCACAAUGGGGGAAACCCUGAUGCAGCCAUGCCGCGUGUGUGAAGAAGGCCUUCGGGUUGUAAAGCACUUUCAGUUGUGAGGAAAGGUUGGUAGUUAAUACCUGCCAGCUGUGACGUUAACAACAGAAGAAGCACCGGCUAACUCCGUGCCAGCAGCCGCGGUAAUACGGAGGGUGCGAGCGUUAAUCGGAAUUACUGGGCGUAAAGCGCACGCAGGCGGUUUGUUAAGCUAGAUGUGAAAGCCCCGGGCUCAACCUGGGAUGGUCAUUUAGAACUGGCAGACUAGAGUCUUGGAGAGGGGGGUGGAAUUCCAGGUGUAGCGGUGAAAUGCGUAGAUAUCUGGAGGAACAUCAGUGGCGAAGGCGGCCCCCUGGCCAAAGACUGACGCUCAUGUGCGAAAGUGUGGGUAGCGAACAGGAUUAGAUACCCUGGUAGUCCACACCGUAAACGCUGUCUACUAGCUGUUUGUGAAUUUAAUUCGUGAGUAGCGAAGCUAACGCGCUAAGUAGACCGCCUGGGGAGUACGGCCGCAAGGUUAAAACUCAAAUGAAUUGACGGGGGCCCGCACAAGCGGUGGAGCAUGUGGUUUAAUUCGAUGCAACGCGAAGAACCUUACCUACACUUGACAUGCAGAG